UCCCGUGUGGCUCAGUUGGUAGAGCAUGGUGUUUGCAACGCCACGGUUGUGGGUUCGCUUCCCACAGGGGAC
rfam:Salmo salar isolate Sally breed double haploid chromosome ssa13, whole genome shotgun sequence.